GCGGGAGUGGCGGAACGGUAGACGCACGGGACUUAAAAUCCCGAGUCCGCGAGGGCGUGAGGGUUCAAAUCCCUCCUCCCGUACCA
rnacentral:tRNA from 1 species